rnacentral:tRNA from 1 species
GAGGUUAUAGCUCAGUGUAGCGUGCGUGCUUAGCGUGCAGGAGGCCCUGGGUUCAAUCCCCAGUAUCUCCA